rnacentral:lncRNA from 1 species
UUAUUUUUAAACUCUUCAGAGUGGACUUUAUUUUAUUUUAAUCCCAUUUUCCCAGAAAGAAUUUCUUAACUGAACGAAACAAACCACAAGAGGACUAUCUGGUUGUGCGACUACCCAUAUUUAAGGUUGACCUUUUUGAAGUCUAAAGUCAAGUCAGUUUUUUCUCCCAUACCUUCUGCUUUGCUGUUGCUUAUUUUUAAAAGUACUGUACUGCUAAAGUCAAUAGCUGGUCCUCUUCUCAUACACUUUUUAAAAAUUGAAAAUAUAUGAGAAAGAGUAAUUUCAAUUUGAGCAUUUAUUUUAUUGAGGGCUGUGUAGAAGCCUGCUGAAAAAUUACUUCUCUAAUAGUAAGUAACUCUUUAAUUCCUAUUAUUAUGAUUUUUAAAUAAAUUAGCCAGUUGGAAGAACUAGGUGAUAGACAUAUAAGGCAAAAACUUGCUGGUGAGAACAGCAUCCCGACUUCUAUACUGUCAAGCUACUUAACAGUGAAAAGACCAGUCUCUACACUGGCAUUGGGAUGUAAGAUGUGUUCAUUGUUUUCCAGUAACUCUUAGUCUCGAAGGGAAGACAGACAUGACUUUAAAAAUUACAGUAAAUGCUAAUAAUGCUAUGAAGGACAGACAUAAACAAAGCACAGUGAGAGAAAGAAAGAGGAGCUGCUAGCUUUUCCUCUAGGACUUGGCAGAGGGUUUCCUAAAAGAGGUGAAGCACUGUAAGAAAGCACACAAGAGACAUGGAGGGCUUCUGGGAGAGAUGGUAUUUGAGCUAGGACUUGAAGGAUGAACAACAAUUUGCCAAAACCUGCUCUUCCUUCUUUUUCAGGUUAGUCACAACUGAAUCUUUCAGAGGAGGAAAGAGCAGGUUACAGAACUCAUUUUAUACUGCAGCCAGGCUGAGGAGGGCCCAUCACCUGCACAUAAAUAUUUGGACAGUGGCGACAACUUGAAGACAGCUAGCUGCAGAGUGAUAUUCCAGAAUAAGAGUUUUGAAGCUCCAGAUGACUAGCUGACCUGGGUAUUAAUGCUGGAUAUAGCAACGUCCUUCUAUGUCCUUCUAAAUUUUCUUCAUGAGUAGUGAUAAGUUAUGCUGAGAAAAAUUCUUGAACCUACAGUUAUACAACAUUGUUCUUGCCGCCUUUCAAAAAUGGACAAUGUCUCCCAUAUGGAAUAUCUACUGAUGAUCUUGCAAGAAGGUGAAUAAAAAAUCCAAUGAAGACAUAAAACGAGUUUCAUUUAAAAAAUCUGGUAAAAUGGAAGUUUGCUUUACACAAACAGUAAAGAAGCCUUGGAAGAUAAUGUUGACUUCCCAUGCUCAAAAGUACUCUGACUCAGGAAGAUAGCUCCAGCCCUUCAAAGGAAGGGCUGUCUGCAAUAAAUGCCCAUGGAGACCUCUCAGCAAUUCCAUAAGAUAAGUGAAUUGGCUUAAAUCAAAUGUUUUGCAGUUCCAUUUACAGAGCAUUUACUGGCCAUCGUGUACUACUCAAGUUACUAGAACACUAAGUUGACUCAUGCUUGGAAAUACUGGUUUUAUGUUGCUAUCAGAGUAUUGUCAUAAAUCCACCCACAAUUACAAAGAGUCCUACUCUGCUGCUGUAGCUACCUUUAACUCCUUGCCCUCAGCAAAUUGUAUGCCUAGGGAGAUGGACUACUUCGGCCUUGAGAAAUUUCCAAUUAGGUCAUUUUGAGAAGCAGUCUGGAUGUGUGGUCUGAAAUAGCAUUUCCAGUUUUUGCCUAUUUUUAUUUUUGAGAACUGCUUGCAAAUAAAUGCCACUGAGUUUGUUAGGAAGAGGUUACUCUUUACUACCUUUGGGAAUUGUGCCUUACCCUUAGGUUGCACAGCUUCUAUUUUCUGAGUCCCUUCUGAUUUUCUCAUAUGGUUGCUGCAAAUUGCAAAAUCAUUGUAAGCUUCUGUUUCUUCACUAGCAAAAUGAGAAAUAGUAACACACCUAGGGAUUGGGAGGAUGAACUGAGGAAAUAUAGCCAUUGGAUUAUUUUUAUAAGGCCCCUACAAAUUGAUGGCAAAAAAAGACCUGGCCCUUUGAAAGAGCAUCCCAUCUCCUCAAAUGUGUACUAGUGAGUUUACAAGAGGCUAUAAUGACAGCUGAAGUUAUCCUUGUUCAAGUAUAAAUAUGGACUUGGAAAAAUAAGUCAGGAAUCUAUGGAACUGCAUUGAAAACUCAGCUGUGCAUUGCUUAGUCACAUAGGAAACACGGUAAGGAAAUGCAAUGUGAUCAGAUCAGCUUAACCCCUAGAGUGCAAGCUGGAUACGGGAGCAGGGCAGUAAAACCAGGAAAACUGAGGGGAUGGUAGCCUUUUAGGAGAAAAAUAUAAGAGGAAAAACAAAUCUAGGAAAGAAAAAUAUGAAGCAGAGAAAAGGCUGUGAAAAGAAAGAGAAAAAUCAGUCUAAGAAGCCAAGAUAUUUGAGUAGCAGGCAGUGUUUUGAAUGUGCAAUGAUGACAAAUAAUCCCAAAGAUGGAUGUGUGUCACACGCUGGAGAGCAGUGACAGUGAGAAGAUGAGAUGUCUCUAAGGCAGACCUUGGUUUAAAUCUCAAGUCUGUGGCUUAUUAACUUUGCAGUGUCAAGCAACUUACUUCAUUCUUCUGAGACUCAUCUGUAAAAUAUGGAUAAUUACUGUAUUUCUGCACUGUUGUGAAUAUUUUAGUUAAUAUAUGCAUAUUUGUCCCUAGCAAAAUGCAAUGAGUAACAGUUAUUAGUUAGUCUAAAGAGGAAAUAAAGGGAGGGACAACUAAGAGUAAAGUUGUCCACUUUCUACUUCAGCUCUCCCCUCCAAGGGAAAAGGUGAUAUGUUGGUGCUAAGUCUGACUGAAGGCAUCUGGGUCACAUGUACCUAUGAGAGUCCCUGACUAGAAUCUAGUUGUUUCCUGCAAUAAUAUCAUAUGUAUUAGAGCAGGUUGUUCAACAGAGUAAUAUGUGUGGUUAUUUAAAUUUAAACUAAAAGUUAAAAUAUGCUUUGUUUCAAUAGCUACAUUUCAAAUAAUCAACAGCCACAUGGCUGGUAGGCAGCAUACACACACACACACACACACACACACACACACACAUAUAUUUACAUAUAUGCUGUGCAUAUAUAUGCAUAUCUUUGUGUAUGUAUGUGUAUUUCUGUCAUCACAAAAAGUUCUAUUGUCUGACCUUGCUUGACUACGGUGGAUUAUGUGGCCAAAAAAAAAGUAAUUCCGUAAGUCAAGAAAGUGGGCAAAGAUUGAGGAGAGAAAUUAGAAUAGGAAGAUAGGGCUUCUGCUGAGGGAAGCCCUUCUCUUUUUAAAAAAUACCUGAGGUGAUGGCAGUAGAAAGGAGUGCUUAAGAUUAGAAAGGUGAGUUAACCAUAAACUGUGAUGUCUAUGGCCUGGGGCAAGGAUGAAAGGAUUGCAGCCACACUUGAAAUUUGCUCUAGGAGUGGUAUUGUGGUCCCAGAAAACCUAUUACAUGGUGACUAACAUGGAGA